AGUGAACGCUGGCGGUAGGCCUAACACAUGCAAGUCGAACGGCAGCACAGUAAGAGCUUGCUCUUACGGGUGGCGAGUGGCGGACGGGUGAGGAAUACAUCGGAAUCUACUUUUUCGUGGGGGAUAACGUAGGGAAACUUACGCUAAUACCGCAUACGACCUACGGGUGAAAGCAGUGGAUCUUCGGACCUUGCGCGAUUGAAUGAGCCGAUGUCGGAUUAGCUAGUUGGCGGGGUAAAGGCCCACCAAGGCGACGAUCCGUAGCUGGUCUGAGAGGAUGAUCAGCCACACUGGAACUGAGACACGGUCCAGACUCCUACGGGAGGCAGCAGUGGGGAAUAUUGGACAAUGGGCGCAAGCCUGAUCCAGCCAGACCGCGUGGGUGAAGAAGGCCUUCGGGUUGUAAAGCCCUUUUGUUGGGAAAGAAAAGCAGCAGGUUAAUACCCCGCUGUUCUGACGGUACCCAAAGAAUAAGCACCGGCUAACUUCGUG
rnacentral:rRNA from 1 species